UCGAGGGGCAGCAUAACUUAGCUUGCUAAGUUGAUGGCGACCGGCGCACGGGUGAGUAACACGUAUCCACCUGCCGAUGACUCGGGGAUAGCCUUUCGAAAGAAAGAUUAAUACCCGAUGGCUCCGCAUUAGUAAAGAAUUUCGGCCAUCGAUGGGGAUGCGUUCCAUUAGGUUGUUGGCGGGGUAACGGCCCACCAAGCCUUCGAUGGAUAGGGGUUCUGAGAGGAAGGUCCCCCACAUUGGAACUGAGACACGGUCCAAACUCUACGGGAGGCAGCAGUGAGGAAUAUUGGUCAAUGGACGAGAGUCUGAA
rnacentral:rRNA from 1 species